rnacentral:rRNA from 1 species
CUACGGGGCGCACCAGUGGGGAAUAUUGGACAAUGGGGGAAACCCUGAUCCAGCAAUGCCGCGUGUGUGAAGAAGGCCUGCGGGUUGUAAAGCACUUUCGGUUGGGAGGACUGCUUCUAGCACUAAUAUUGUUGGAAGUUGACGUUACCUUCAGAAGAAGCACCGGCUAACUCCGUGCCAGCAGCCGCGGUAAUACGGAGGGGGCAAGCGUUAAUCGGAAUUACUGGGCGUAAAGCGCGCGUAGGCGGCUAGAUCAGUCGGGUGUGAAAGCCCCGGGCUUAACCUGGGAACUGCAUCCGAUACUGGCUAGCUUGAGUACAGGAGAGGAGAGUGGAAUGCCACAUGUAGCGGUGAAAUGCGUAGAUAUGUGGAGGAACACCAAUGGCGAAGGCAGCUCUCUGGCCUGAUACUGACGCUGAGGUGCGAAAGCGUGGGGAGCAAACAGGAUUAGAUACCCCAGUAGUC